GCUGCUAACCAAUCAGGCCCUGGGACUCGGGGCAAGAGAGCAAGGUGAGGAGAGGAGUUAUUCUUCUCACUGCUCACCCUCUGGUCCAGAUUUCUCUUUGGUAGAGACCUGAGCGCUCUGAGAGGUACAAUAUCCUGACAUACCAAGGAUUUUUGGUUGUGCUGUCUUCCUGAGGUUGUGUGGAGUCGACCAGUCAUGGAGCAAGAACCUUCUAAAGUCACUCCCAAGGAACCUGCUCUGAGCAUCAAGAAGUCAGGCAAAUCCUCCACACGCAGCCAGGUCUCCAAAAACGUGCUGUACUUUCUCAUCAGUCGACAACUGGGGAGGCCCAGACAUGACGUGGACCUGGCACAGUGGGUGUGGAUGCUCUCAUAAGCGACACCAGGGUGGAGUUGGCAUUUACUAAGGGGUCCUGAGACUUUGAUGCUUAUUCCUGCCCAGGAUUUUGAUAAUAAAUUAAAUUAGAACAAACCCCUCCUCCCAUAUUUCAGCCAUUAAAAUAGAAUCUGUAAUUGCA